rnacentral:lncRNA from 1 species
AGCUCAGUGGAAGCUAAGCAAUUGGACAAAGCCAUCUAAACCCAAAGCAAUGGCUCGAUGGAGUUCACCAGGGAGGAUCUUGCUCUGAUCUAAAUAUACAGUGGAAAUCUGAUGUGAUCUAGGCUGCUGCACCUCAUCUACUAAAACCAAAUCCUGGAAAAGAUUUCUAUGAGAUGGUUUCUGUCAUUCUUCCUAAACUGGGAGCUAAGUGAUUAAUAUAGAGGAAAACUCACAGAUAAACAUAUCUCUGCAAAUGCAAAUAAGUACUAAAGUGCUGGUAACCAACAUCCCCACCCUGGUUCCUCUUAGCACUUCAGUCAAAGGCACACUUCGAACAGAAGAAUCUGAACCACAAAUUUAGCCAGUCUCUACUACCUUCAGAAAGGCUUCCAGAAGUCAUUUUCCUCCCAGACCUCCUAGAUUUCUAAUUUCUCUAUUCCUGCUAGGAGGGACACUACUACCCAAUCUAGGAGUAUCUUGGAAGAUUCAAGUGGGAAACCAUUCAGAUCUGUCUCUUCCCCUCAUCGCAUCAACAUUUUAAUCUGUCUCUACACAACGCAGGAUUCACAAGGGAAGUCUCAAAUCCCAUAGCGUUGCUUACAAGCAGCGUGACAACAAGGAUGAAGCCAGAGAGGCACCUAUGGUACAAAAUUUUAAAAGCAUGAAUUUCCCUCAACCUUAAGAAGAGAUGGAAUGUUCAUAAUGAGG